rnacentral:rRNA from 1 species
UACGUAGGUGGCAAGCGUUGUCCGGAAUUAUUGGGCGUAAAGCGCGCGCAGGCGGUCUCUUAAGUCUGAUGUGAAAGCCCCCGGCUCAACCGGGGAGGGUCAUUGGAAACUGGGAGACUUGAGUACAGAAGAGGAGAGUGGAAUUCCACGUGUAGCGGUGAAAUGCGUAGAGAUGUGGAGGAACACCAGUGGCGAAGGCGACUCUCUGGUCUGUAACUGACGCUGAGGCGCGAAAGCGUGGGGAGCAAACAGG